ensembl:lncRNA
UCACAGAGCCUGACCUUCAUCUCUCCAGUGACAGCACCUGGCACAGCACCAAACCCUCACCAAGCGCUUUCCCUGACCAAAACAUUUCAGGUAAUGGGGAAUCCAGUGUGUGUCUCCAGGGCUGUCUUCAGGUGGGAUCUGUCUCGAUGAAGUCCAGCAGCCAAGAAGGCAGAUUUGAUGUCUGAGGUGGCCCUGCAGCCUUCUGUAGCUUGUGGAGAAGUUCUACCAUUCUUUCUUUGACUGAGACUCGGGUUUGAUCAGUCACUCUGUGGAAGGGACUGUGUUGUUCUGUCUUUAAGGGUCAACUGAGACAGCUGCAAUUGAAGAGGACGGAGGGAUGCAAUGAGCAGGCUCUUUCACCACCGUCGGUUCCUCAGAAAACAGCCAGUUGCUGUUACAGCACAGCACCACCUCCACUGCAAGAACAGGCAAGGAAAGGGGGGAAGAGGACUUGGGAUCAGGCAGUGCUACUGCUGUCACUGUGACCCAUCACAACCUGCCAGGACUGUGCAAGACAAAUUGCUGCUCCCCUGGUGACACAGAGGAGCUCCCUUUCCAAGGAGCACGGGGAGGAAACCAUAGGACUCUCUGCUCCUGAUCUGCUGGACCAAAUCCAGACGUUGCUGGUAAUCGUGAGUCAAAGCAGGGAAAACCUACACCUCUUCGGUGCUGAGAGUUCUGGGACAAAGGCAGUGUUUUAUUGAUACUGAAGCUAGUUAAAGUACACAAGGUCAAUGCUGGAGUGGAGCAGAGCCGUAGCAACUGCUUGCAGUGUGUUGUCUGCACCUCCAGCACAGUGUCAUUGGGAGAUGCACAUGACACUAUUUUCCACAAGUUUGGGUGAAGUUGGCAAGAGGGUCCCGAAGCUUCCAGAGGGCUGGAAAGACAGAUGGCAGGGAAGAACUGGCAAUCAGAUAAAAGCAGAAGCAUGGCACAUGAGAGGGAAGGAAAGAUGAGAUGUGCAAAAGGGGUCUUGGCAGAGCCACAGGAGAAGACCCAGCAUGGUUCAGGAGAGGACACACACUGCCCACCGGGAAAGGCUUGUGGGGCCUGAAAGCAGCACUGAGUCACUCGGUAAAGAAGCCUAUUUUGACAGCAUCCCCCUGGCCUAAGCAGGAAGUUCUCCAAGUCUGAAGACAUGGAGAGUUCUGGAUCUCGCAUGGUUAAAGCCCAGAUGUGCAAACCCUGAGAGGUGCUUAAGCUUCUGGAAAUGUUUAGACCGUGCAAAACUGGCAGUGCCGAGAGCCUCAUCUGUCACCGGAGUCAACCAAAAAGGUGUCUGCAGCACAAAUCCCCAAUCCUACGGUCACAUUCUUUGAAGUUCUGUUCUCUAACAUGACUAUUUUUAACAAAGGGGAGGGGGACAGUGGGGAGAAGCUCCAUCUUACUCACCAAAUCUGCGGGCUCCCUGUGUUCUGAGUCAUAGCUGCUGGCUGCACUGACAAAAGCAAGCUUUUUUAAUUUGAUUUCUACCCUCAUUGGUACAGUAGAGGGGGCACAGCAAAGACAGGGACAGCAGUAGGAUUGUGCAAGCAUCAACAAGAUGAUAAAUGGAUCCAUCAGUUUUCCUUGCUGGGAAUAAUAAUAAAGAGAAGCCCGAUUUUUCUCCCAGACCUCAGCAGGAGUUUUGCAAGGUAGAAAUCGGGCAUGGGAAGGAAGGAGGUUAGGAGGAAGAGGUGGAAAGUUGUUCAUCAGUAGAAGAGAGAUACAACUAUGAGCAUUCGAUGUACCACCAUCGUUCCUCUGUAUAACACCAUGUCAGUGUUGCUUUACAUAGAAGAGACACUGAAGCAGAUCCCUCCACAAACCAUACAUCUGACAAAUGGGCAUCUCCCAGCAGUGCCUGUGUGUGAUGUGAUGCUAAGGAAGGCGCAGAGGCGGUCACCCCGUGUGAAUCCAACCACCUGCCUGCGUCUUCUGCAAUGAGGAAGGAAGGGAAACAAGUGAAGGAUCGAAAGGGGAAGAGCUGGGUCUCUUGGUAUUCGCUAGCUAUACGGUGCCUGCCAUGAACGAGUCAGCACUUGUUAGCACUUCCUACGUGGUGGGAUGUGGCACACCACACUCCUCACCCCGUGCACAGAAGAGGAAAUUGCUGAUAACUGUGAUAGUUUGUUGUUGGGCUACCUCACUUCGGUUAUCUAAACUGUUAUAAAAUACAUCAAGGUGAAGAAAGGGGCCUUUCAGUUGCAUGCUAAAUAUCACCCUGCUUUCUGUACUCCAACAUUAUCUGUUGCUGCUCUGCACUGUCAAGCUGAGAUCUCACCCCGAAGCAGUUGUGUUUCAGCACUGAAUACAGCAAUUCCUAACAUGUGAAUGGCCGUACGCCUCAUGCUCCCACAGCCAAAAUCUCCAUUAGAGCUUAUUUUAUAGCAGUUCAUACCUUUGUGUUUGCAGAAGACUUUGGGUACCAUCUGGGAAAAAUUGUUCUUUGUUAAAUUCUCCUUUAUUCCCUUUGGGUUAUGUUUUUAAGGCAGGAGAUGCUGAAGGAUGUUCUGAGGACGGUAAAAGCAGCUUGAAAUGAAGAUGUAGGAGGAAAAGUACUCAAGCUGUUUUUCUGCUUUUGCGAUUGAAAGGAAACUCAUGAUAUAGCAAAUUUUCAAUGGCACAAGAAAUUCUGCUGUCUACUUCAACAUGGCACUAUUAGGCCAGCAACAGGGGGAGCAGCUGCUCAGCCAUUGUAUAAUUGACAUCGCUGAUAAUGACCUUGGAUUCAUAAUUAAGGUUCAUGAGGAUCAGAGGAGGAAAAAAAAAAAAAAAAACCCAGCCCUAUCCUUACAAAAAAAAAAAUGAUAUAAACAACUGUGUGAGUGAGCACAUUGGAACACAACUGAGGGCUGAAGAAAUCCUGCCAGUCCCAGGGCCCUGCAGGGGGUGAGAUGUGGGCGCUGGCGCUGGGAGAGUUUCCAGCUCUCUCCUGGUGAUGCUGAGCACUUGACCAGAAGUGCUGACAUUUUAAGAGGAGGUCAGAGAGGCUGGGGUUAGAACACGCUGCUGAAAACAACAAGAAAAAAGAAAGGGAAAAAAAAAGUAUUUUUGCUGGGAAUGAAUGGACAGGUUCAUGGCAGUAACACUGGAUCUGCAGCAAGGCGUGUUGCCUCCCAGUGUAAUCAGUGCCUCAAAAACACAUGCUGGCAUGUGUUGGAUGUCGAUACCUCCUUUAUCAUACAUAUUUGAGAGCUCAGACUUCAACUGCCACCUGAAAUGAGCACUGUGGUUUUCUUUCCCCACUCAGUGGGUUAUUUGGUUAUGAUUCUGUAUCCUUUCCUGAGGCUCUUUAGAGUUCCGUGUAACUUUCAUCCAUUUCUCUUUCUAGCAAAAAUAUAUUUCAGGAAGUUCCAUAAUUGCACAUGUCUAUAUGGUGAGGUUUGGCACAGAAAACCUGGUGUGAGGUUGGCUUUUUUCUUCCCUUUCAACUUACAAUGUUUAAAUAGGGUUCCUACACAGAUUCAAAAAACACAUUCUGCUGGGUCAUGCUGGAGCUUUGAGUCAUAACUUUUGUUAAACAGGGAAGAAAAUCCACCAAGUAUUAUGAUGCAAACAGUCCUUAUGGAGAAUCCCACACUGCUCCUGUGUGCAGAGAAUUUGCCACUCGGUUUCUGUUGUGCAUUUUGAACUACAAACCUGCAGGCAAGUGUGGCAGUGCUCAGAGUUCAGCAGAACUUGAGUACUCUGGGUUUUGUUUGGGUUGUGCUUUAUUAGGCUUUAGGCUAUUAAGGGAGGGGACUCCAAUUUCCUUUAAUAAAUAAUGUUUGCGUGCACUUGGGAAAUGGCAAUCAUGUUUUGCUAACUACUGAAACCUAAUGCAUGAGAAAUGUAAAGCUGGAUGAGCACCGUUUUAUUCCAGAGUUUGAGUUGCAUUCUUGGAUGGGGUUACAAGCCUUUUUGACUGUGGGGUAGGAGCUCUGAAGCGAUGCCUUUCAGAGCUGCCUCGAAACACCACUAAAUGACUGCUUUCAUGAGACUCAUUCUUAAUCAGGAGGCGCCUGGUACCUUAUGGAAGAUGGAUCCUGUCAAGCCAGACUUGGGAUUAUUUGUGAUGAAAUUAAAAAUAUGGUCAAUAAGAUACUUGUGGUUUGAGACUCAUGAAAAAUAUUUGUCUUGGUACUCAAAAUACUUAAACUAGAAUGAUUCAAAAUCAAUGUGGAAGAGUAAAAGGAUUAAACUGGCUUGGAAACACAUCCCAAAAGGUAAUUGUAAACAGGAAAUCAGAAUGGAGUGGGUGUAUUUCUCGUGGGGUCUCCAAGAUUGUUUUGUAGCUCUAAAUGACCGAAUGUUUUACAAAUGGCCAAGCAGAAAACAGCAGUCAGGCACCAGCGUGGCACAUGACACGAGGCCUGGUCAGGGGCUGCUUGGUGAGCUGAACAGGUGAAGCACCACGUUCUGUAGUGACCUCACGCCCAGAGAGGGGAGGUCUGGUGAAGCCAACUCCCUUCUGCUGCAGCCAUUUGCUCAGACCUCCUGGUGCAGUCCAUGAGCAUGUGAUCCUCGAGGGAAAGCAGCACGAACAGUGAUAAAAUACUUGAACUGCAGCUGUCCCCUAUGAGAAGCCACAGACAACACUGUCAGGGUGCCCUGGUUAUUGUCUGGCUCUGCAGUCCAUAUGAGAAGAAGAGUCAUCGAAACAAGGAUGGGCCCUACCAGUUAUGGGUGAGAUUGUGCUAGAAGAAGUUGAAAUGCGGAAGAGAAGUUGCUUAUGGCAUGUGAAGAAUGAGGCUGUUCGAGACAGGAUGCCAGGAGGUCUUUGACCUCCUAGUCAAUGAGGAAAGGUCCUUUUUUAGGCUCCUAAGUAUGCCUGGAUUCAGACAAAGUGUAGUUUGCUCCAGCCGAGCUCCCAGCCAUUUUCCCUGCUGAUGAGUUUUCCUGUUUACUCUCAUUGCACAGGGUGGACUGAUGGAGCUUACACUGACUUGGACAGAGUGGAGGAAGUUAAAUGUAGCAUCUGAAAGAAUAAAGAAUGAGAAUUAAGUACUGCACAGGCCGUGGGGCUGAGUUAAGGCCAUUAGUUGCAAGAAAGAAAUGGUAGUGGUAGGCAUUUCCAGAUCUGAGUGUAAGUGUAGCUGGAAGCUACAGGGCAGCAGGACCUCCUGGCUCUAGAUAAAAUAGAACAGUGCUUCCAGAGCUCCCUAAAAUACUCUUCCGUCAAAACUAAUGAACAGAUUACUUUCUGCCAGUGCAAGUGACUAGACAGGUAGCAACAGCAUUUAAAGCCUGAUCCACCUCUGUCAGAAGGUACACGGAGUAGGCACAGAACAACAGCUCGGGAUUGCCCAUCUGAGAUGUGAAGCAAGACUAAGUAUGGUUACUUGAAGAGGAAAUAAGGGUCAAGAUGUCCACUCAUGUCCACACAUGGCUUAUAAAACUGGUGAUUGGGUCGUCUUGGCUCUGUGACGAUGAUGUCCCUGCUGAUGGAGCCUUCUCCUGUCUCACCUCCCGGUGCUGGCUGGCUGCUGGCUUUGUUUUUGUUUCGGUUUUUUUUUCCCCUUCUAAGGGCUUAUAAAAGGCUGUUUAGUUUUGUUUUUAAAGGGUGAAGAGGGGAAAAAACAACUUCCAGAAAAAAAAACAACAGCUCAAGCUCCAGGAGCCAGAUCUUAGCAUGAGAACCCGACUCACUGUAGGGGAGGGCUGUGUCAGAUCACUGCAUGCUCCAGGAGCAAGAAUUCAGUGCCUGCUGAAAAGCCACAGAACUCAGACCCUAUUUGAAAGAGUAACAUCUUUGAUAUAAAAAAACAAAAACAAAUAAACAACAACAGCAAAAAAAAACCCCAUCACCCAGCCAAUAAAAAGCCUCAGACAUACAGGAUCCCAUUCAUGGUGGGAGGGAUUUAGUGGAAGUAUUUUCCUUCUUUAAGGUUUGGCAUGGCCUUAAAGGAGUCUCUUUAAAAGCUUCCAGAGCCGAUUAUAUUUUGGAUUGUGUUUCACAUCACCCUUCCCCCACCACGUUUGGUGGGUCCUCAAACGAGUUCCCAGAAUAAAUCAGACAUAACGGUAGCGGGAUUUUAUUUUUUAUUUCAUUUUCUUUUUUUUUCUUGAGGAGGAGGAAGGAAUAAAUGACACCAAAUUCUGUAAUGGAAAGAAAAAAAAAAAUAGUGUGUAUCGGAAACUGCUGCUGAGUGACUCACGCUGCCGGACAAACGGAACCUCACUCAUCACUCCAUCUUCAUCCUCCUCCUCUGGUGAGAGAAAAAGUCUUGGAAAAAUAUCAGCACCCCCCCCCCCUCCCCGUUGCUUCUCCCGUGGCAUCUGUACACAGGGAAGCGUUCCAAGCCACAGCAAUGGCUUCAUGUGCUUCUUGGGGCAGGCUUUUUUUUUUUUGGUGUUGUUUUAAUGGCCAACUAGGAAAAGCCUCCGAGGUGACCUUGGAAAAAUAUAUGCACCAAAGGAAAAAGGGUUUUUUUUCUUCGGGGGGUGGGGGAGCAUUGGAGUUGGUGUGUGCUGUAUGUUAGGAGGGUUGUGCUUUUCUUUCCUAAUAGCGUUUUUUCCAAAUUUCCACUGAAAUAAAUUUGCAAGUUAUUA